AACGAACGCUGGCGGCGUGCUUAAUACAUGCAAGUCGAACGUGAAGUGUAGCAAUACAUGGAAAGUGGCGAACGGGUGAGUAACACGUAAGCAAUCUGCCUCUAAGAUUGGGAUAACCCUGCCAACGCGGGGCUAAUACCGGAUGUGGUCCGGAUGACGCAUGUUGUCUGGAUUAAAGGAGUGAUCCGCUUAGAGAUGAGCUUGCGUCCCAUUAGCUAGUUGGUGCGGGUAACGGCCCACCAAGGCUGCGAUGGGUAGCCGGCCUGAGAGGGUGAUCGGCCACAUUGGGACUGAGACACGGCCCAGACUCCUACGGGAGGCAGCAGUGAGGAAUUUUGCGCAAUGGGGGAAACCCUGACGCAGCGACGCCGCGUGGAGGAUGAAGGCCUUCGGGUCGUAAACCCUCGUCAGAGGUGAAGAAUGCCCGCAAGGGUUUGACGGUAACCUCAGAGGAAGCCCCGGCUAACUACGUGCCAGCAGCCGCGGUAAUACGUAGCGU
rnacentral:rRNA from 1 species